UCCGCGGUAGCUCAAUUGGCAGAGCGCUCGGCUGUUAACCGAAUGGUUGGAGGUUCGAGUCCUCCCCGCGGAGCCA
rnacentral:tRNA from 2 species